rnacentral:rRNA from 1 species
AUCAGCCUUUCGUGUGCGAUUCUGUGGAGUUUGAGGAGCUUAACACCUUCAUGCUUUGCAUAUUCGUGCUCUUGGGUGUACUUGCCCGUGUGGUUGGUUAACAUCAAUUUCGGGCACCAUAAAAUGGCUGGAGGAAUGUAGCUUUGAUCUUGUAUUGAAGUGUUAUAGCCUUCGGUAGAUGUGGUGAUCGAGAGAUUGAGGAUUGCAACGGAUACCUUUCGGGGCUACCUGUCUGAUCUCUGAUCGUUGCUUUGGUGCUGUAAGCGUGCUUAUAGUUAUCAAAGUCGAUGGUCAAUAGGUUAGAAUGGGUUAAAUUCGUUAAGGAUGUUGACGUAAUGGCUUU